AUUGAAAAAUUUUCAGUUCUUGUUUUAACGUAAUUGUUAAGUCACGUUGUGCGCAGUAUUAAUUAUUCGAUUUUUGAAAAAUUCGUAAAAUAGUGUAAUUUCAAAAAAGUGUUACCAUUCUUUUGCAUUUUCAUUAUAAUUAUCUGAUUUACUAACGUUUUCAUUUGAGGAAAUUGUGAAAUAUCGUUACAAUUAUAUCGGAAUUGUGAUACGCGUAUAGUAGAAGAUUACAUUCGCUAUACACGUAUGUUACAUCACGGAAAUGUUAGAUUUUAAAAAGAAAUUUUUUUUGAAUUUGAUUGUAUUCUAAAGUUUUCAAAAUAUCAUUACGUAAUCUGCUCGAUAUAUCUGUUUCUAUCCACCUUCGCACCUCCGUUAAUAGCAGGCAAUUUCGUGUUCCCUCGGCUAACCCGUGUAAUUGAGCCAAUGUGUGUUAAUCAAGAGGCGCCUCAUUUGCUACGGGGAACAUUCUAAAUUGCUUUUGUUACCUAAAAUAUCUUGCUGUAGCAUACGGUUUGUGUAUCGAUUAGAAAUUUCACUAUUUUACCGAAGAGGAAUAAAAAAUCUUAUAGAAAAAAUCAACGUGACGUCGUUUUUUUGGAUACCAUUAUGCGUUGGAUGGGCGGAAGAAGCGUGGCCAGCAGGGCGGAAGAAUCGAUGGCGGGAAAAUAUGAGCGAAUGCUCGAUUCCGGAUCGAUGGGGAGCGUGCGACCCUUGGCAGAGGAUCAACUAUCCGCUCGACUCGAGUAUUUGUUUCAAAGCGGGUUUUGAUUGGAAGCGACAAGCGAGAUACUGGCGACAUCUAUCUCCUUCAUCAUUUCAUCGAUUAAUACUCGAUUAACUUCCGAGAACGGGCGAAGAUAGCCGACAUCGUACGAAGAUUGCGACAACUUCCGAAGAUCGAAAAUACCCGAUAUUCACCGACAAACCAAUAUAUUUGGCGACAUUUUAAUAGAAAGAUCAAUCGAUUUUUGACAUAAUAUGAUAUUCUUAUACAUGAUAAUUAAUUAUAAUCGUUUAUUCGUUUAAUAAAAAGAUACCACUGUAGAGUAAAAAUAAAAAUCAA